CAAGUCGAGCGGACAGAAGGGAGCUUGCUCCCGGAUGUUAGCGGCGGACGGGUGAGUAACACGUGGGUAACCUGCCUGUAAGACUGGGAUAACUCCGGGAAACCGGAGCUAAUACCGGAUAGUUCCUUGAACCGCAUGGUUCAAGGAUGAAAGACGGUUUCGGCUGUCACUUACAGAUGGACCCGCGGCGCAUUAGCUAGUUGGUGGGGUAAUGGCUCACCAAGGCGACGAUGCGUAGCCGACCUGAGAGGGUGAUCGGCCACACUGGGACUGAGACACGGCCCAGACUCCUACGGGAGGCAGCAGUAGGGAAUCUUCCGCAAUGGACGAAAGUCUGACGGAGCAACGCCGCGUGAGUGAUGAAGGUUUUCGGAUCGUAAAGCUCUGUUGUUAGGGAAGAACAAGUGCGAGAGUAACUGCUCGCACCUUGACGGUACCUAACCAGAAAGCCACGGCUAACUACGUGCCAGCAGCCGCGGUAAUACGUAGGUGGCAAGCGUUGUCCGGAAUUAUUGGGCGUAAAGGGCUCGCAGGCGGUUUCUUAAGUCUGAUGUGAAAGCCCCCGGCUCACCCGGGGAGGGUCAUUGGAAACUGGGAAACUUGAGUGCAGAAGAGGAGAGUGGAAUUCCACGUGUAGCGGUGAAAUGCGUAGAGAUGUGGAGGAACACCAGUGGCGAAGGCGACUCUCUGGUCUGUAACUGACGCUGAGGAGCGAAAGCGUGGGGAGCGAACAGGAUUAGAUACCCUGGUAGUCCACGCCGUAAACGAUGAGUGCUAAGUGUUAAGGGGGUUUCCGCCCCUUAGUGCUGCAGCUAACGCAUUAAGCACUCCGCCUGGGGAGUACGGUCGCAAGACUGAAACUCAAAGGAAUUGACGGGGGCCCGCACAAGCGGUGGAGCAUGUGGUUUAAUUCGAAGCAACGCGAAGAACCUUACCAGGUCUUGACAUCCUCUGACAACCCUAGAGAUAGGGCUUUCCCUUCGGGGACAGAGUGACAGGUGGUGCAUGGUUGUCGUCAGCUCGUGUCAUGAGAUGUUGGGUUAAGUCCCGCAACCAGCGCAACCCUUGAUCUUAGUUGCCAGCAUUCAGUU
rnacentral:rRNA from 1 species